ensembl:lncRNA
AUCCCAGGGCGGGGAAUCGCGUAAUGGCGGACGCGUGCCGGGUGAUCGCGGCUGGGGGCCCUUUGCAGGCAGAUGUGCAAGAGUUGGAUCCCAGACAUUGUCCGAGAUAUUGGGCAAGUUCUUCCCCAGGUGGAGCCUCAGUUUCCAUCUCAGGGCCCUGAAGGCACUGAGGUGCUUUUUGAGAUUUUAGGCCUAAGUUGCAGAGUGGCAGGGAGGUGUGUGUGUGUGUGUGUGUCUGUCUGUCUGUCUACAGGAUGGUCUGCAGAGUAAGGAGAAGAGUUGGCUCUGGGGGCCCAUCCAGGAAGGGUCUGGGUAAACCCAGAUUAUAGUGGGGUGGAGUGUGCUUGUCUUGGUCCUCCAGGAUCCUAGAGCCUUUGAGAUGGGGAAGUUUUAUAUAGGUCUCCAUAGAGACAGAAGAGGAAGGAAUCCUUGGAGCCUCUUGGGGUUUUGAUUGAAAUUUAGGCCCAAAAGAGUUCAGGUGGACUAGGAGGAGGAAGGGGAACAUUUAUGGUGCUCCUACUAUGUGUCAUACCUGGUUUAGGCAUAUGUUCUUAUUUAAUUUUUACAGCUACCCUUGAGAAUUUGCACAUAAGGAAACUUAAAUUUCAGAGGAGUUAAGUAACUUGCCCAAGGUCACACAGUAAAGUGCAAUGCUUACCAACACGAAGGUGUUUCCUUUGAGAAUCAUUGAGCCAGGGAGAAUUCACUGUCCACUUAAAGGAAGUUUGCUUUGUCACACAUUGGGGGAGAGGUCGGGUCCUAGACACUUGAACUGACUUUUGAAAAAAAAUUCAUUUUACUGAAGUAUAGUUGAGUUACUUGAAUUCUGGCAUGGGGACAGGCUGGGUCUUGAUCUCUAGACAGUAAAUUGUAACCCUUUGUUCAGCCUGUGAGUUGAAAAGGACCAUUUCUAAAUUGUAAAAGUCACAUUGAAGUGUGUCAGAACCUCAGCAAACUCAGUUUGAAUCCUUGCUGUGUGGCCUGUACAAGAAAGUUCACCAACUAUUGGUGCAUAGACUUGAUUCUCAAUUCAGAGUUGAUGCCAGGCUAGUAACUUUUUCUUUUCCCCAAAAAGGCCAAGUUUUCCUGGGAUGGAUGAAAUUCCGUAUUUGUUAGUGCAAAUUUCUUUUGAUUGCCAGGGUGAAAGUUUCAGUAGCCGGACUCUUGAUUAAGUGAAAUGCUCCUUUAUUUGUGCUUCCUGUUAUUUGACUUCUAGAUGAUGAAAAUUGUGGACCUAGAGUGGGUACUAUAAAUUGCAGCCCGAAAUUUUUCCAAGCCUCAGAGCUUUUGGUUAAUCAAAAUGGUAGGACGGCAGUGUGUAUUGUACUCAUAUGUCAGUGGUAGGGAAGAAAAUUGGAAGAGGAAGUUGCUGAGAAAGAGGGCGUUUCUUAGCAGUGGAGCCAAUAUGUAUUUCUUUGUUUGAAAUUCUAAAACCAGAAAAGCAGCAACUGAAGGAGGAAGGAAGGAAAGAACUCUGAAACUCCUCUUCCCGUUGAAAUACCUUUAGACUGUCCCUGUUACUGUCCCGUCUGAGGCUCUGCUUUCAUGGAAAAAGUCAAUUGUAAUUUGUUCAAUGUUCAGAAGUUGUAUUCUAGAAUGAAAGAAUUUUAAAUCUUAAACCGUCUGAUUUAAUGAAAAAAAAUCAGAACACCUUACUGAAUACGUUACUUAUCAGUAGAUGAUUCUUUUUCUCAACAUAAUUACCAGUUGUGGUCUUUGGGUUUCUUUUUUUAAAAAACUGAUUUAAAUUAGUGAAUUGCAGGAGUUCCCCUGUGGCUCAGCUGUAAUGAACCUGACUAGUAUCCACGAGGACGCAGGUUCAAUCCCUGGCCUCUCUCAGUGGGUUAAGGAUCCAAUGUUGCCGUGAGCUGUGGUGUAGGUUGCAGACGCGACUCCGAUCCCAUGUUGCUGUGGCUGUGGUGUGGGUCAGCAGCUACAGCUCCAAUUCAACCCCUAGCCUGAACUUCCAUAUGCCUUGGGUGAGGCCAUAAAAAGGCAACAACAACAAAAUGAGUGGAUUUCAACCUAAGAGGAAUUGAUCUAGGUAUUGGAUGAUGCAGAUAUCACCAUCACUUGAAAAACAUGUAAUGGUGUGUUCGGUUUUUGACAUUUGUUAGAAGUCUUUAUAAUGCUUUAUUUUUAUGGGAUUGUCUGUGUUAAUAGUUAAGACAUUGAAUUUAUUGCUUGUGAAAAUCUACCCAUUCAGUCUCUGUAUUAGUUAUAUUUUCUGUAUAAGAUUUAAUCUUAAUUACUGUACCAGCCUACAGUACCUUGGGAUCAAAAGAAAAAAGUUCUUGAGGCCAAAUGUGCUUCUGAAUUGAGAAUUUUUUGGAUUUUAGAAAAGGAGUAUGGUGCAUGUUCUAUAUGUCAUCUAAUAUCCCAGAGAGGUGUAGGGCAGCAGCUGCAUUAUUAUUUCUGCAGUAAAAUGUCAGACUGUUCACAGGAACUGCAGUAAAAACCAUAAAUAGCCUCAUGUCAUUUCACAUCAGGAUUUGUCACCAAAUAAAUAAUGAGAAACUUUUUUAUAGCCCUUUGGAUUUUGGAAUUGAAAUUAAGGGAUUCCGGACUUUUAUGGGUGAAACAUACAAUGACAAGAACAAGGACAGAUUUUGUAAACCAAGCUCUAUUUGAGUCAUCAGUCCUAAAAAUAGUAUCAGAAGACACUUUUCUUCUUUUGUUUCAUGUGACAGUCUUGUUGUAUUUUGGCUGCACCUGAGACAGGUGUAAGUUCCCUGGCCAGGGAUCAAACCCACGCCACAGCAGCGAUCCAAGCCCCUGCAUUGAAAAUGCUGGAUCCUUAACCCACUGUCACACAAGAGAACUACUCAUGUGACAGCCUUAUUCUGAUUAUGCCAAUAUGCAUUUUUCCGUAAGUACCUAAUUUUACCUUUUAAUACCAUCAUUGGUCCCUAUUUUAGAUGUUUGAAUGACACCUUGCUCUCUUUAAAAAAAAAAAAAAUUAUUUAUUUAUUGGUCUUUUUGUCUUUCAGGGCCGCACCUGCAGCACAUGAAGGUUCCCAGGCUAGGGGUUGAAUCAGAGCUGUAGCCAAUGGCCUAUUCCACAGCCAUGCCAGAUCCAAGCCUCGUCUGUGACCUACACCAUAGCUCACAGCAACGCUGGAUCCUCAACCCACUGAGUGAAGCCAGGGAUUGAACCCUCAACCUCAUGGUUCCCAGUCGGAUUCAUUUCCGCUGUACCACGACAGGAACUCCUUAUGUGGUCUUUUGCUCAGCAGUUUUUGUAUAGCAAUUAAGAGAAUUGUUCCUUUUUCCAUAUAAUUCAGAGAACGACUAAUCAGGUGAGGCUCUUCAUGUUUGCAGAAUUUAAAGCUGAUGUUUCUUUAAGUUGCUCUUUGGUAUGAGGUCAUUGCUGUGGAUGGGAUUUAUGUCAGAUUUUUUUUCUUUACGGCUGCACCUGUGGCAUAUGGAAGUUCCUGGGCUAGGGGUUGUAUCGGAGCUGCAGCUGAGACUCAUGCCACAGCCACAGCCACAGCCACACCAGAUCUUAGCUGCAUCUGUGUCCUAUGCUGCUUGCGGCAACACUGGAUCCUUAAACCACUGAGUGAGUCCAGGGAUCAAAUCCAAGUCCUCAUAGAGGGUUGGGUUCUUAACUUGCUGAGCUACAAUGGGAACUCCAAAAUUAAAACAUUUUUAAUUUAUUAUGCCUUUUGGUAAGAUACAUACAUACAUAUAGAGUAUUUAAUUUAAGGUAUUUUUUAUUUCAAGUGUAUGCCGUAUGAAAAACUAGAUUUUACCAGCCUUAUGAAUUUGAUUUCUUUAAAUGGCCAAGGACCUCUAGAAGCAAAUUUAUAAACAUUCAGUCUACUCUUUACUUUUCUUGGACACUUCAACUGUAGACUGAGGUGGACUGGUAUUGUUGGAGGUUAAAUAAUUAUUUCUUCUCUUUAAAAGAAGGCCCAUGACAGUUUGAAUUUGAGAGAUUCUGGCCGUUAGGACAGCCACCUGGUUUGAGGGUCUCAAUUCAUCCUCCUACAUGGGGUGUCGCCAUAGUUCCUGAGAAUGGUACUUUCACUGGGAGAUAGAAGGGCUGUGGAACAGUGUAUCAGGAGUUACAGGUGCAGUUGGUGUUUGAUUGGACUAGGGAAUAAGAACAGUUGUUAUCCAGGUUACCUCAGUUUCUCCUAUUUCAUAAACACUGAUAAUAUUGCAGAAGGAUUACAAAUUAGUGAACAAACAUUCUGUUACAAGUUACUCUUUGUGACUGUGGAUAAGCUUUUCUAACCAGAAACUUGUCUUAUGCUUCUUUGUAUUCUGUAAAGCCUAAAGGCCAGGGCAGCAAACUUGUCUUAAAUCAGAAUUUACCAUUAAAAAAUAAAUUAUACUUGGGAGCUCUGAUGUCCGUAAACAACCAGGGUUGAGAACCAUUGAUGUGAGCACAGUGUAGGUGUUCAGUAAAUGUUGAUUAAUUUGCUAUUGGUCCUGGAGUGAAUUGGGUAGUGUGGAAGAGAACCCAAAUUUUUUCGUAAAGUAACUUUCCAAGAUACCAAAACACAUCCAACAAAAGGCAGAUCUGGACCCAUAGUCAAUUCAUUGCUAGUUACUCUGCCAGCAUCAUCACCCUGAUUUUGUGAUCUAGGAAAGAUUAGAUACAGUCUUGUCAACAGGCAACUGAAAGUCUUGUUUAAGCCUUACUGACAACUAAGAGAAUUGCUAAAUGAAAGAAUUGUUGGGGAUUUGUGACAGGGAGGUAGGCUGGUGGACACCAAUGAUGCCAAGGGAAGAAGUGGAAAGUUGUAAUUUGACUGUGUCUUCAACACGUAACACAAUGUAUGGAACAUAAUUGGUGUUCCAUAGUUUCUGUUGACUUAAGAUAUGAGAUAGCUCUUUGGAAAGAGGCAUAUAAGCUGUAAAAUAAGGUACUUUUUACUCAUCCUUCAGAACUGAGCUAAGAUGCCAUCUAAUUUGUGAAUCAUUCUUAGGAAAAGUCGAGUGACUCCUUUUUAUGCUUUCUCCUUCAUUAAAGCAUUUAUCAGAUAUCAGACAAAUGCUAAAUAAAGCUUUCUCCUACCUGAUGAUGAGCUCUAUAAGGGCUGGAUUGUAUUAUUCUUUUCCCUUCCUUCCUUCCAUGUGUGUGGCAUGUGGAAGUUCCUGGGCUGGGGAUUGAACCCGUACAACAGCAUGACAAUGCCAGAUUCUUAAUCCGCUAUGCCACACACAAAGAACUCAUGUACUGUUCAUUUUUGUAUGUCUGGUGUGCAACAUACAAUAAAGGCUUAAUAGAUUUUAGCAAUGUUUAAGUCAGAUCUCUGUCUUUCAUUCUUGUAGGCUUUUCUUUCUUCCAAUUCAUGGUCUUUCCUUUUCUGUUCUGAUCAGCAAACAUUUAUUGAGAGGUAGGGCUUUCUUGGUCCCUGUGGAGGGGUUUCUCAUCCUUGGUACUGUUGACAUUUUGAGCCAGAUAAAACCCUGUAUUGUGAUAGUCUGUACUGUGCAUUGAAGGAUAUUUAGCAGCAUCCCUAGUCUUUACCCACUGCCUUGUAAAUCUGCACCCCCCCCCGUUUUGUGACAACCAGAAAUGUCUCCAAAAGAGUUCCUGCUGUGGCUCAGCAGGUUAAGAAGUUGAGUAGUAUCCAUGAGGAUGAGAGUUCCAUCCUUGGCCUUGCUCAGUGGGUUAAGGAUCCGACGUUGCUGUGAGCUGCAGUGUAGGUCGCAGAUACAGCUUGGAUCUGGUGUUGGUGUGGCUGUUGUAUGCCUGUAGCUGUAGCUCUGAUUCAACCCCUAGCCUGGAAACUUCCAUAUGCUGUCGGUGUGGCCCUAAAAAGAAAAAAAAAAAGUAUCCAGAUAUUGUCAGAUGUCCCUUAGGGAGCAAAAUUGCCCCCUGUUGAAAACGAUGUCAAGAGUAGGGAUAGUGGGGUCAUGGAAGUGAGUAUAGAUGUCCUCAGUGUGUGCUAUCCUUUCAUGGCUUCUGUCUGGUUAUAUAGGAUCUUGUUUCUGACUUU